rnacentral:tRNA from 1 species
GAGGGUGUAGCUCAGUGGUGGAGUGCGUGCUUAGCAUGCACAGGUCCUGAGUUCCAUCCCCAGUACCACCG